UCCUGUGUUUUUUCAUGAAUUCAAUUCAUUUCUUUGUUUCACUUCAUUCCCUCUCUCUCAAGAAUGCUCUCGCUGGAACUUUGCUCCGCCGCAUCGGAGGCGGCGGAGUUGAUCCAAACAACCAUUAACAGACACCGAACUCGCGCUCUUGACGUCCUCUCCCUCAAUCUCGUAUUCGUUCCAUAAAAAAUUCAUUAAAGUUCUUAAAAUCAAAUCAAAAUCCAAGAACCCUAGUUUGCAAAAUGUAAAAUUAAAUGGUGGAAGAGCACUAAUCCAAACUCAAACCUUAGGGGGUUUGAUUCGGAGCUUCAGAUACUACAUUGCAGUAACCAUUUUGACACGAAUGGAGGAGGAGCUUACCUACAGGGAAAAGAUUGGCCCCGAAGUUUGUAAGAAUUGAAGAAGAUGAAGUUGAAAAAGGGAAGAAGACCAGAGACCAUGGCUGGUGUGCAUUGAUGGGAUGACCAAGACUUGGCAUGUGACUCAUCAAAAUGACAUGGCACACAAGGUUCAUGAGUCAAAGUCCGCACACCAUGAUACAUGAGUUCAAUAACAUAUACAAAUGCAAUGAUCAUCAUUGGUUUCCCUUCGAACCACAUAAAUCGCUGAUAAGGCCACCUGCUCAACAUAAUAAACAUGAUAUGUAAUUAUGACUCACAAGUACAUAAUCAUACAAGCAUUCAAUAACAAUUUACUCA